GAUGAAGAACGUAGUGAAAUGCGAUACGUAGUGUGAAUUGCAGAAUUCAGUGAAUCAUCGAAUCUUUGAACGCACAUUGCGCCCCUUGGUAUCCCGAGGGGCAUGCCUGUUCGAGCGUCAUUUCACCACUCAAGCCUGGCUUGGUGUUGGGCGACGUCCUCUUUGGGGACGCGCCUCGAAACGCUCGGCGGCGUGGCACCGGCUUUAAGCGUAGCAGAAUCUUUCGCUUUGGAAGUCGGGGCCCCGUCUGCCGGAAGACCUGCUCGCAAGGUUGACCUCGGAUCAGGCAGGGAUACCCGCUGAACUUAAGCAUAUCAAUAAGCGGAGGA
rnacentral:misc_RNA from 1 species